GACGAACGCUGGCGGCGUGCUUAACACAUGCAAGUCGAACGGAAAGGCCCUGCUUUUGUGGGGUGCUCGAGUGGCGAACGGGUGAGUAACACGUGAGUAACCUGCCCUUGACUUUGGGAUAACUUCAGGAAACUGGGGCUAAUACCGGAUAGGAGCUCCUGCUGCAUGGUGGGGGUUGGAAAGUUUCGGCGGUUGGGGAUGGACUCGCGGCUUAUCAGCUUGUUGGUGGGGUAGUGGCUUACCAAGGCUUUGACGGGUAGCCGGCCUGAGAGGGUGACCGGCAACAUGGGAACUGAGGUACGGCCCAGAUUCCUACGGGAGGCAGAGGUGGGGAAUAUUGACCAAGGGGCGGAGGCUGAUGCAGCAACGCCGCGUGCGGGAUGACGGCCUUCGGGUUGUAAACCGCUUUCGCCUGUGACGAAGCGUGAGUGACGGUAAUGGGUAAAGAAGCACCGGCUAACUACGUG
rnacentral:rRNA from 1 species